AACGAGUUGCUGAGGGGUAAAUGGAAGGGAUUAGUUGUGAGAAUUCAGGCUGUAGGAGGGAAAAACUUCAUAGAUUGGCAAACCAGUACAAUCUUGACAUUUCUGGUCAUUUUCAGUGAUCUAUCAGCUGGAAAGCCAGUCCAAACUUAAGAAAAUGUCUUGUUGAUGCAGUCGACUAGAACCCCAUGUAGAUCAGAUAAAUACGAGGACAAGAAAUUUGUGUGUCAAAUCAGCUUGAGCAAAUUGUCAGAAUAGGCAG
rnacentral:lncRNA from 1 species